rnacentral:rRNA from 1 species
UACGGAGGGUGCAAGCGUUAUCCGGAUUUACUGGGUUUAAAGGGUGCGUAGGUGGGUCUGUAAGUCAGUGGUGAAAUCUCCGAGCUUAACUCGGAAACUGCCAUUGAUACUAUAGGUCUUGAAUUAUCUGGAGGUAAGCGGAAUAUGUCAUGUAGCGGUGAAAUGCUUAGAUAUGACAUAGAACACCGAUAGCGAAGGCAGCUCACUAGGUCUGGAUUGACGCUCAGGGACGAAAGCGUGGGGAGCAAACAGG